rnacentral:rRNA from 1 species
GAUGAACGCUGGCGGCGUGCCUAAUACAUGCAAGUCGAGCGAACAGACGAGGAGCUUGCUCCUCUGACGUUAGCGGCGGACGGGUGAGUAACACGUGGAUAACCUACCUAUAAGACUGGGAUAACUUCGGGAAACCGGAGCUAAUACCGGAUAAUAUAUUGAACCGCAUGGUUCAAUAGUGAAAGACGGUUUUGCUGUCACUUAUAGAUGGAUCCGCGCCGCAUUAGCUAGUUGGUAAGGUAACGGCUUACCAAGGCAACGAUGCGUAGCCGACCUGAGAGGGGGAAGGGCCACACUGGAACGAAGAAAGGGGCCAGACUCCGAGGGGGGGCAACAGGGGGGAAUUUUCCGAAAGGGGAGAAAACCUGAAGGGAAAACGCGGGGGGAGGAAUAAAGGUUUUGGGAUCGAAAAACGUUUUUAUUAGGAAAAAAAAAAUGGGUAAGUAAAUAGGCACGUUUUGACGAUACCUAAAAAAAAAGCCACGGCUAACUACGU